rnacentral:rRNA from 1 species
AGCAGCCGCGGUAAUUCCAGCUCCAAUAGCGUAUAUUAAAGUUGUUGCAGUUAAAAAAGCUCGUAGUUGAAUUUCGGGGGUUAGUAGGCUGGUCGUGCCACAGGUAUGCACUGGUCUUACUGACUUCUCCUUUCUGAAGAACUGUAAUGCCAUUAAUUUGGUGUUGCAGGGAAACAGGACUGUUACUUUGAAAAAAUUAGAGUGUUUAAAGCAGGCUAACGCUUGAAUACAUUAGCAUGGAAUAAUGAAAUAGGACGUUCGAUCCUAUUUUGUUGGUUUCUAGGAUUGACGUAAUGAUUAAUAGGGAUAGUUGGGGGCAUUAGUAUUCAAUUGUCAGAGGUGAAAUUCUUGGAUUUAUUGAAGACUAACUACUGCGAAAGCAUUUGCCAAGGAUGUUUUCAUUAAUCAAGAACGAAAGUUAGGGGAUCGAAGACGAUCAGAUGCCGUCGU